ACACACACGUCAGAAAAGACGAGGCUAUAACUGUUCAGCUUUGGGAUGCAGAUACAAGUCAGACCACAACAACGACGGCACGUUUUGACAGGGACUCGGCGGUCAGGACGAACCAGUACUCCUUGGAUCCUCCUUUCAUGAAGCUGAUGUUGAUGGUGAGCCAGCCUUUGCGGAUCACCUGCGCAGAGGGACGGGAAGGAAAACGUCACGGGAUGGCGGAGACAUCCGACUUUACCGAAAAACACACGCACGUCUCAGGCUGAGAGCAGCCGUAUGUGAAAAACACUCAGAGUGAACACCUGCUCACACUUACCUGUACAGGAACACGGGUGUGAACAGAGAGAGGAUGCUGAUGAUUUACAAGCUUGUUCUUUAAAAUGACUGUUUAUUAUUUUUAUUAAAAUUAUUCAAGAAA